rnacentral:rRNA from 1 species
UACAGUUUGAUCAUGGCUCAGAUUGAACGCUGGCGGCAUGCCUUACACAUGCAAGUCGAACGGCAGCGGACCUUCGGGNNNCGGCGAGUGGCGAACGGGUGAGUAAAGUAUCGGAACGUACCUUUCAGUGGGGGAUAACGUAGCGAAAGUUACGCUAAUACCGCAUAUUCUGUGAGCAGGAAAGCAGGGGAUCGCAAGACCUUGCGCUGAUUGAGCGGCCGAUAUCAGAUUAGCUAGUUGGUGGGGUAAAGGCCUACCAAGGCGACGAUCUGUAGCGGGUCUGAGAGGAUGAUCCGCCACACUGGGACUGAGACACGGCUCAGACUCCUACGGGAGGCAGCAGUGGGGAAUUUUGGACAAUGGGCGCAAGCCUGAUCCAGCCAUGCCGCGUGAGUGAAGAAGGCCUUCGGGUUGUAAAGCUCUUUCGGCCGGGAAGAAAUCGCAUGGGCUAAUACCCUGUGUGGAUGACGGUACCGGAAUAAGAAGCACCGGCUAACUACGUGCCAGCAGCCGCGGUAAUACGUAGGGUGCGAGCGUUAAUCGGAAUUACUGGGCGUAAAGCGUGCGCAGGCGGUUUUUUAAGAUAGGCGUGAAAUCCCCGGGCUCAACCUGGGAACUGCGCUUAUGACUGGAAGACUAGAGUAUGGCAGAGGGGGGUGGAAUUCCACGUGUAGCAGUGAAAUGCGUAGAGAUGUGGAGGAACACCGAUGGCGAAGGCAGCCCCCUGGGCCAAUACUGACGCUCAUGCACGAAAGCGUGGGGAGCAAACAGGA